UACGAAGGGGGCUAGCGUUGCUCGGAAUCACUGGGCGUAAAGGGUGCGUAGGCGGGUCUUUAAGUCAGGGGUGAAAUCCUGGAGCUCAACUCCAGAACUGCCUUUGAUACUGAAGAUCUUGAGUCCGGGAGAGGUGAGUGGAACUGCGAGUGUAGAGGUGAAAUUCGUAGAUAGUAGGAAGAACACCAGUGGCGAAGGCGGCUCACUGGUCCGGUACUGACGCUGAGGUGCGAAAGCGUGGGGAGCAAACAGG
rnacentral:rRNA from 1 species